GCAUGCGCGGUGACGUCAUGUCAUAACGUUUAGUGGAUUACCUCUCUCUCUCACACACACACACACACACACACACAGGGACUCUCACAAAUGGCGUCAUAAACACCGGUUUGCUUCCUACCACUCCACCGAUACCCAAUGACAGCUACUCGCGUGCAUCCGUGGCGCGUGGCUUCGACCUAGAGACAGGAUUCUGCUCAGCCCAUCUGUGUUUCAACAGUGAAAGCCAAGCUGGAGUUAUCAGGCAGAAACACAGCACAGGACACUGUUAACCGAUGGAGAGAGAGAGAGAGGCAGAAAAGAAAAAACAUCUUGG
rnacentral:lncRNA from 1 species